AUGGACCUGUUCGUGCCGCCGGAGGGCGAUUCAGAAAAGAGGAUUAGCCAUGGGCAGAUGGAGGGUGUUGCUGUUGCGCGCCCUAUAGAGUCCCAGGCAUCUAUCAGCGUCGCCGAGGGCGACAUCCGCCAUGCCAGAGACCUCUGCAGCGGCGGCGGAAAUGCUGGAUCUGUCGGCGAGGGCCCGCUUUUGCAAGUGCGCUCAGAGGCUACCAGCGGAUGGACACGCAGAGUAAGGAUCAGGAAAGCCCCUGCGGAGCGAGAGCUAAAUCCUAACCGGAAAAGUGCUCUUGAACUAUCGAUGAGGGCGUUCAUAAGUAAACGAGAUGGCAAUGUAGUCAACCCAGCAGUCGGCACUUCAUUUGAUUCACUGGAUGAGGCGUAUCAAUUCUACAAUUUGUAUUCGUGGGAGGUUGGAUUUGGCAUAAGGUAUUCGAAAAGCUGGCUAAAUGUGGAGAGGGUGAAGUGCAUGCAGGAGAUUGUAUGUGGAUGCGCGGGUAAACCGGAGAGGGAGAAUACAAGAUCAACUAGGUGCGGCUGUGCUGCCAGGAUUAGGCUACUGAGGUCGGAUGACAAUGGAUGGUAUAUUUCAGAGCACAGGCCUCUUCACAACCACUCUCUCUCAAGUACUUGUGGUGAGAAAAUGCACUGGCCUUCACACAGGCUCAUUGAUCACUACACUAAAGAUCUUGUUAGGCAGCUGAGAGAAAACAAUGUUAGCCUUGGAAAGGUUUUUAGCAUAGCUGGUAGUUUUUUUUGGAUCAGUUGA
rnacentral:rRNA from 1 species